GAUGAACGCUGGCGGCGUGCCUAAUACAUGCGAGUCGAGCGAACGGACGAGAAGCUUGCUUCUCUGAUGUUAGCGGCGGAAGGGUGAGUAACACGUGGAUAACCUACCUAUAAGACUGGGAUAACUUCGGGAAACCGGAGCUAAUACCGGCUAAUAUUUUGAACCGCAUGGUUCAAAAGUGAAAGACGGUCUUGCUGUCACUUAUAGAUGGAUCCGCGCUGCAUUAGCUAGUUGGUAAGGUAACGGCUUACCAAGGCAACGAUGCAUAGCCGACCUGAGAGGGUGAUCGGCCACACUGGAACUGAGACACGGUCCAGACUCCUACGGGAGGCAGCAGUAGGGAAUCUGCCGCAAUGGGCGAAAGCCUGACGGAGCAACGCCGCGUGAGUGAUGAAGGUCUUCGGAUCGUAAAACUCUGUUAUUAGGGAAGAACAUAUGUAUAAGUAACUGUGCACAUCUUGACGGUACCUAAUCAGAAAGCCACGGCUAACUACGUG
rnacentral:rRNA from 1 species